CCGCUUGGCUAUGCCCAUGGCAAGGACUUUUAUACUCCCAGUGAGCAGACUUCAGCCCCUGGUCUUCACUCAGGUCCUCCACAAAGCCUCACUUACCCCUUGCUUGCCUGAGAUAGGUCCAUUCAAAUGCAGCUUGCCUGUGAUAGGUCCACUUGAAUACAAGACUCCCAGCGACACACAUAGUCAGAGAAAGAUGGGGUGCCAUCUCCCAACAGUCAGAAGUUUGCGCUGGGUGAGGACCAUGGCUAUGCCAGGGCACAACUGCCACUUGCCAUCAUAGGAAGGCCUCUUACAAAGACAGAAGGAGGGAGAAGGGAGAACAACUGACCCAACCCUUAACUCCUGGUAGAAAAAAAAAGAAACAAAUAUGGCAUGCCAUACACAGAUCAUAUAAAGAAAAAUUUCACAGAUUUGGUGUCUGAACUACCAACUUAGCCUACCUCACAGGGCUGUUGUGAAGAUUAAAAGGGAAGAGGGGGAUACAAUUUACAUAGCCUUGAGCUUCGGGGAGGAAAAGCAAAACAAAGAUACAACCAGCAAGAGAUACUAUUAAGUGUCAGAUUGACUUACUGUUCUAAAAAAAAUGAAAGCUGAGAGUUUGGGGCCCAUGCUGGUUCAGAGCCCGAGAAAAGUAUUCUCCGCCAGCAGCCCCGAUCAAAACUGACCACUCACCUUCUGCUGCAUGAACAAUUUCACCCGGAACAUUUUGACAGGACAAGAAAUGGCAAGUUCUGACGCAUUUGAAAUUAGCUGAGCUAAUUUUGUUAGCAAUUCUUGAGUGAGACAUAAGGUCAAAGAUGCCAAAGGACUAAAGCGCAGAACGCAAUCAAAAUGUAACAUAUUUUCAUAGAGACACAA